GUGAUGCACUUUUGAACAGUAAGACGUUUAAAUAAUCAUCUAGGAUAUUAUUAUCAUGAUCAUCAUAUCUAAACCCAUUAAUGUGUGCAUAAGUAAUUAUUAAUUAAUAAUACAUUACUAGCAUGACGGUGUACUGUAUAAAUAUUGUAAAUCAAUGCAGUUAUUGAUGACUAAUUACCUAAAAUCUCAGUUAUGUCACUCGGAAUCAAUGGAUCUGAAUUGCCCGUCAAUAACUUCCGGAACUAUUUCAAUCCAUUUCGAACUUCCGUUGUCGCAACUCCCUCUCUUUGUCGACGUCAGAGAGCCGUGGUGCCCUCUGGGAGUAGCAGUUCUUCCGUAGCGCAAUGACGUCAGCGGAAGUGAGUGUUGAAUCUGAAUUGUAAAUAAACUAGUGUUUUCUCUUUGUGCUGAUGGGACUCCCAGCAGCACACACACACACACACACACACACACACACACACACACACACCGUCACAUCAUGCACGCGCCCAGCACCGGCACGGGGACGGUAAGCAGCGACCAACGCACACACAUUUAAACACAUACACAUUCAUGUGUGUGUGUGACCAGAUGUUGUCUUAUUAAUACUAUUAUUAUUAAUAAUAAUAAUAAUAAUAAUAAUUAAAGUGUUGAAGCGUUAGGUCUGAAGGUAGGCGUGUCCUCUCCUCCUCGUGCAGGUGAAGCUGGAGUCAUGUGACCAAACCGCUGAACUUCAUUUCUUGCGUUUACGAGUGGAGGAGCUGGAGAGAGAGAGGGCGGAGCUUACAGCGGAGAACCAACGGCUGCAGAGCAUGCUGGUCCACGAAAUCCCUGGGCUUCUGUCCAGCAUGUGGCAAACGUUGGACCAUGUCAAUGGACAGCAUCCCAUCACCAUGGUGACGGACAGCGGCCUCGGCAACAGGCAGCCGGCUGUUUCCAUGGCAGCAAGAGGUGUCGAGUACAGCCCUGAGGUGAAGGAGGAGGGCCCACUAUGGGAAGAGGAGGCGGCGCUUAACAGUCAGGCGGACAUGAACCAGGUGCUGGUGGAGGUGUUUCCUGGUUCAGGCGUGCUGUGCGACGCCCGCUCCUGGCAGGCGGCCAAUGAGGUGCCGUCUCCCACGGCAAUGGCCCGCCUCCUGCUGCUGGGCGUGUUUGAUAUGGACACCCUGAUGAACAGUAACCUGCGAGGUGGGCGGAGUCGACGCUCGGCUUUCCAGCAGCAGAGAAAUGCCCUCGACCCUCACAAAACCAACGCCAUCUUCAGUGAGUGACCUUUAAUCUUUGACCUUCUCUCACCUGCUCUGAUCUCUGACCUGCUAUGACCUUUGACCUCCAGACGCCAUCCUGGCCCGGUUCCCGUUGGCCAAACGAGGUUUGAUUGGUUCCUGUAUAAACUCUAAACUGUCAGAGAUCCGCUUCCACUCCCGUCGAGCUAAUCAGAGCCAGCGCUUCGUCUAAAUACCAAUGAUGGACUGAUUCUGUUACCAUAGCAACCAAACUUCAAAAUAAAAGGACAAACAGUUACA
rnacentral:lncRNA from 1 species